CUCUCAUUGCCUUUUCUUUAUCACUACUACAUCUUACCUGAUUAAUUUGUUUUGAAUGGUACCUGGGGAAAUAUCAGAACCUAUAUCUCUCAAAAGAAGAUGCUUGAGUUUGGGAAUUCUUCCUCUGGAGUGAAGAUGGUGAGUGUGGGGGUCGGCACAGAAACCAGCCAUGGAAGGUUCAGGUAAGUAAUGAAGUCUGGCAGAUGGAGUGAGUUGGCCUUCAAUGUAAAUGAGAUGUGUUUUAAAAUAUUUUACAUUUUUUUUAAAAAAGACAUUUAUUUCUUCACAGGCAGGAGGUAGAAACAAAUGAGAUUGUUCUUCGAAGGAGGCAGAAGCAGAUAGACUAUGGAAAACGAACAACUGGUUAUCAAUGCUUCUUGCUUCAAGUCCCUAAGGCAGCACGGCAGCCAGGACUUCACCCUCAAACACCUGACAAAAAUCGAAGGUACAGCCGACGUUCCUGGGAUGCCCAGAUCAGGCAAUGGCGACGAGCCCUACAUGCUUGGGAUCCCCCUAAUCAGCCUUUGUUGUAUAGUGAGAGUCAUGUAUGUUUUUCAUAUACUUGGCUACAUUGAGUUGUGGGAUUUAGGUUCUAAAUUUUCUCUUCCUUUGGCAAAGACUAGGAGAGAUAACUAGAGCCAAAAAUCUCUUAAUGGAGUAAUUGUAAUGGUAUCUGAAUGCUAGUCUAAUCCAAUCCUUUUUCUUGCUCCCUGUUCUGACAAUCUAUAGUUACAUAAAGAGUGAGUUUGAAUUGGUCCUGGUUUAUUCUGCUUCUGCUCUUCCCAUAAUAAAAUAUAUCUCUGCUAGGCAGGGAGUGGAGAAUCGUCCAGCUACCAUGGAUUCAGUCUCUUUGGAUGGCUUCUUGGAAGACUGGCUCAAUGUUCUGACUCCCUUGUGG